CCAGUGUUUGAAUACAUUGAACUAGUAUGUAGAAAACUCAAAAAACUUGCACCACAUUCGUAUUUGGCAAAGAGUCAAUCAUUAUACCUGAGAUCAAGAAAGGAAGAUAUCAAUAAGAGAUUUUGGUUUUACUACUAAAUGGAACUUUUUUGCAACUAGUCACGGUAAGCAACCUUGUGAUGGGAUAGGUGGUAGAGUCAAAGGUCUGGCAACAUUAGCAAGUUUGCAAAGAGAUAUGAAUAAUCAUAUUUUAUCUCCACAAACAUUGUAUAGAUAUUGCAAUGAAAACAUUGAAGGCAUAAGUUUCAUAUAUAUUUCAUCAGAAGAUUUAACUUUGGUGAGAACCACUCUUAAAGAACGAUUGCAUACUGCUAAUACAAUACCUGGAACAUGUAGUUACCAUCAGUUUUUACCACUUGGCCAUCAAAAGGUAGGCACUAAGCUAUGCAGUGUUGAUGAAGAACUUCAUGACUUUGGAAAUAUCCAGAUAACAACUGUAAACCUAGUACCAGGUGAUUAUGCCUGUGUUUCCUAUGAGCAAAAGUGGUAGAUUGGAGUCAUUGAAGAUAUUAAUUUAGAAGAAAAAGAUAUGCUUGUAAAAUUUAUGUGUCCUAAUGGUCCUGCACGGUUGUUUAAAUGGCCACGAAAGGAAAGCCAAUGCUGGAUUUCUGAUGUCCAUAUUAUUUGCAAAGUUGAGGUACCGAUAUCAAAAACAGGACUUUGCUACUAUUAUAUAUAAAGAGGACUUAGGAAUAAAUUGUUUUCCUAAGGAAGUUGAGUUUAUGUUUAUGAGUCUAUUAUGUCUUAUCUAUUCUUUUUUUAAAUAUUAUGUU
rnacentral:lncRNA from 1 species